UACAGAGGGUGCGAGCGUUAAUCGGAAUUACUGGGCGUAAAGCGUGCGUAGGUGGUUUUUUAAGCUGGAUGUGAAAGCCCCGGGCUUAACCUGGGAACUGCAUUAAGGACUGGGAAACUUGAGUCUGGGAGAGGGUGGUGGAAUUUCCGGUGUAGCGGUGAAAUGCGUAGAUAUCGGAAGGAACAUCAGUGGCGAAGGCGACCGCCUGGCCUAAGACUGACACUGAGGCACGAAAGCGUGGGGAGCAAACAGG
rnacentral:rRNA from 1 species